GUUUUGUUCUUAACUUUCUCCACCGAACUCCAAAUGACUUGAUUCUUGUUUUGUUGGAAUUUAGACUCAAAGAGAUUUCCAACAAAACAAGAAUCAACGCAUUUGGAGUUCGGUGGAGAAAGUUAUGAGCAAAAC
rnacentral:pre_miRNA from 1 species